AUCAGCUGCACGCGGCGUUCGUCAAGGCGGCCGAACAGCUCAGGGGAACGAAAGCUCUGGAGACCGCCAAGCAGAAGGAAGGAUGGGGAGAGCAUAUCCCUCCUCAUUGCUAAUUAAUAUGUACAAGUGGUUGCUCUCAGAGCAAGGGCCAAGGGCUAGAAAGUCAAAUCAAUAAUCUCGCAGGGGUUACUUAUAUUGGUUCCCCUAGCUUUGUUUUAUUUUCAUCCUUGGAAUUGUCUCCUUCUGUAUUGUUUUGAUGUUGGCUUGCCUAGCGGUUUCAAACCUUAUAGUGCACUCUGGUCCAUGUGGGCUUGAUUUAUAAAGCUCGAAUAACAAGCCUU